CUAAGCGAUGCAUCUGCCAUGUAGACUGAGUCCCAAUCCCUGUGCCACUUUGGAAACAAGAUACUGUUUCACCAACGACUGAGAGGACCGGUCAGCUGCUAACCUGAGGGCUGCACUCCUGCUAGCUGUGGAGAUCCAAGGACUGUUUGUUUGCUGACGGGGUUCAGAAGUGUUUUAAAGGACUGAGAUGCUGCUAUUUCUCAUGCUCUGAAGAGUCCAGAGCGAUGCCUAAAAUAGCAGAAUAGAAGAUGGCCCCUAACCAGAAAAAAAUUACGCACGCACCCCAGAUUUUGGAACAGAGUGCAGCCUGACUGUAUCCUGUGAUCAUGAAAGGCCCAGGACUGAAAUAAGGAACUCUGGCUUCUUCAGAGCACGGGAUGGAUGAACAAGGGGACUGAAAAUUGAAGGAGGACUAAGAGCUCUACAUGUUCACAGAGAUGCAAACUUACCACUUUGUGCCAGUUCCUCUAGAAGUCCAC